UGGUUGAUCCUGCCAGUAGUCCGUAAUGCUUGUUUCAAAGAUUAAGCCAUGCAAACCUCAGAGCAAAUGGGUUCAACAGUAGGUCCGUGAACGGCUCAUUAAAUCAGCAAUCAUCUACCCAGUUCUGCGGGGGCAAUACCCCUGCCAUACGGAUAACCUCAGUAACUCCGAGGCUAAUACGUGUACGAAACCUGUCCCCUCGUUCCCUGUGCGGCUGGUUUGGGGAGUGGAGGACUCAUGGAGUGGAGCGUGUGUGGGUUCGUGAGCGUGGUGUGUUGCCUUCACCGGUACGCGCCGCUGCUUGUGUUCCUGUCGCAUCUUCUCUUCCCUCUGCUCUCCGCCAGUUGCGCAGAGGGGGCAUACAGUUGGCCGGCACCAAAACUAACGCCACCGUCCACCAACCCACUCUUCGGAAUGGGAGGGGCGGCUCACAUGGCAGUGCCUUCCUACGUGCUUCGCGCAUUAUGCGGGUGAUACAGGCCAACCUCGUGGUAGCGCAUCAGUCCCUAGUGGCUGGCGCGGAACUGGACGAAUUUCUGCCUUAUCAGCUUUCGAUGACCGUGUAGUGAACGGCCAUGGCGAUAACGAGUCACGGGGAACUAGGGUUCGAUUCCGGAGAGGGCGCCUGAGACACGGCGACCAGAUCUAAGGAUUGCAGCAGGCACGCAAAUUGCCCAAUGGCAGCUCGCUGUUGAGGCAGUGACGAGAAAUAACAACACCGGCAGAAAACAUUUCGGCCGGUGAUUGUAAUGAACGGUACCCAAAGCAACCGAUGAGUACCCAUUGGAGGGCAAGUCUGGUGCCAGCAGCCGCGGUAAUUCCAGCUCCAAUAGCAUACACUAAUGUUGUUGCGGUUAAAAAGCUCGUAGUUGGAUCCGGAGCACGGGAUUGCAGGUUGGAUCGGGUCCCGAUGCCGAGGGUUUCGGCCCUUGUGCUGGUGGACACAAUCCCCUGCACUAAAUCCUGGCUCUACACACACGGAAUUCGGUUCUCCUGUCUGAGGCCUCCUUCAUUGGUGGUCGAAGCAAUUUCUGGGGCGUCCGUGGUAGUUACCGUGAACAAAACAGCGUGUCCAAAGCAGGCGCGGCUUCGCCAUUCUGCCUGUAUGAUCUAGCAUGGAAUGACAAGGGAGCGACCAUGGCGUUGGCUUUCUCCUUUUUGUUAGUUUUGACGACACCAUUGGGAAACACAAGGCAGGCGUGCCGUGCGGUGGACACCUCGCUUCGCUCUGCUGCGGCCGCAAGGCUGUAUGCGGUUAGCGUUGAGAGUCGUUGUCCGCCGUGCGGCCCCUGCCUCCAUACGGGAUCAAUCGGGGCACACGGUGGGAUACGUAUUGUAGCGCUAGUGGUGAAAUACUUAGACCGCCACAAGACGAACAUCUGCGAAAGCAUUUCUCAAGCAUGCCUUCUUCAAUCAAGAGCGAGAGUACGGGGAUCGAAGAUGAUCAGAUACCGUUGUAGUCCGUACCGUAAACGCUGCCGGUUCGGAAUUGGGAGCCUGCUCUGGCAUCCCGACUCUCCCAGAACCACCCCCCAUAACGAGAAAUCCAAACCUGGGUUCCGGGGGGAGUACGUCCGCAAGGCCGAAACUUAAAGGAAUUGACGGAAUGGCACCACAAGGCGUGGAGUGUGCGGCUUAAUUUGACUCAACACGGGGAACCUUGCCAGGUCCGGACUUGCUGAGGAUUGACAGAUUGAGAGCUCUUUCUUGAUCGCAAGGGUGGUGGUGCAUGGCCGUGCUGGGUUGGUGGAGUGAUUUGUCUGCUUAAUUGCGAUAACGAACGAGAUCACAACCUUUCACUCGGCCUUCCAUUCGUACAUUGGGUAGGGGUGCCUUCGGCGCCCGUCGCCACCCUUCACGGGGUCGGGGGCGGGUACCGGAGCGUUUAUGGCCCCGAGAGUGGAAGAGCUUUCCUUAAAGGGACUGGCGGUGCCCCCUCAACCCCCGGAAGAAUGUGCCUUUCACAGGUCUGUGAUGCUCCGCAAUGUUCUGGACUGCACGCGCACUACACUGGCGUGGUCAACGAGCGACAAACCGUGCUUUAGCGGUUCCUCCUUGGAAGCGAGCCCGGUAAUCUUUGCAAACCGUGUCGUGAUCGGGGAUAGGUGAUUGCAAUUAUUUUCCCUGAACGAGGAAUGCCCAGUAGGGGUGGUUCAUCAGACCAUCCCGAUUGCGUCCCUGGCAUUUGUACACACCGCCCGUCGUUGUGCUCGAUUGGCUGUCGUAUAGAGGACUUGCAAGGCUGCGACAUGGAGCUUGCUUCAUGUCGUCCCGAAAGGGUUGGCCAAACUUGCCCAAUAUACUGCAGCUAGAGAGCAUAAAAGUCGUAACAAGGUACUGGUAGGUG
rnacentral:rRNA from 1 species